rfam:Triticum urartu cultivar G1812 contig883083, whole genome shotgun sequence.
AGAGUACUCCCUCCGUCCAGAAAUACUUGUAUGAAGAAUGGAUGUAUCUAAGUGUAUUUUAAUUUUAGAUACAUUUAUUUGUAUCCAUUUCUACAACAAGUAUUUCCGAAAGGAGCGAGUAAUAU